AAAGUACUCCUCUGUCCCAAAAUUCUUGUCUUAGAUUUGUCUAGAUAAGGAUGUAUCAAGUCACAUUUUAGUAUUAGAUACAUCCGUAUCUAGACAAAUCUAAGACAAGAAAUUUGGGAUAGAGGGAGUAGUUG
rnacentral:pre_miRNA from 1 species